rnacentral:rRNA from 1 species
UCGUAGACUCCUACGGGAGGCAGCGAGUGGGAAUAUUGCACAAUGGGCGCAAGCCUGAUGCAGCCAUGCCGCGUGUGUGAAGAAGGCCUUCGGGUUUGUAAAGCACUUUCAGUCGUGAGGAAGGUAGUGUAGUUAAUAGCUGCAUUAUUUGACGUUAGCGACAGAAGAAGCACCGGCUAACUCCGUGCCAGCAGCCGCGGUAAUACGGAGGGUGCGAGCGUUAAUCGGAAUUACUGGGCGUAAAGCGCAUGCAGGUGGUUUGUUAAGUCAGAUGUGAAAGCCCGGGGCUCAACCUCGGAAUUGCAUUUGAAACUGGCAGACUAGAGUACUGUAGAGGGGGUAGAAUUUCAGGUGUAGCGGUGAAAUGCGUAGAGAUCUGAAGGAAUACCGGUGGCGAAGGCGGCCCCCUGGACAGAUACUGACACUCAGAUGCGAAAGCGUGGGGAGCAAACAGGAUUAGAUACCCUGGUAG